CAGAGAGUAGUUUAAAUUUAAAAUAUUAAUUUUGGGGAUUAAUGAUGAGAUAUUCUUUUCUCUGA
rnacentral:tRNA from 1 species